rnacentral:rRNA from 1 species
AUGCUUAGGAAUCUGCCUAUUAGUGGGGGACAACAUUUCGAAAGGAAUGCUAAUACCGCAUACGUCCUACGGGAGAAAGCAGGGGAUCUUCGGACCUUGCGCUAAUAGAUGAGCCUAAGUCGGAUUAGCUAGUUGGUGGGGUAAAGGCCUACCAAGGCGACGAUCUGUAGCGGGUCUGAGAGGAUGAUCCGCCACACUGGGACUGAGACACGGCCCAGACUCCUACGGGAGGCAGCAGUGGGGAAUAUUGGACAAUGGGCGCAAGCCUGAUCCAGCCAUGCCGCGUGUGUGAAGAAGGCCUUAUGGUUGUAAAGCACUUUAAGCGAGGAGGAGGCUACUUUAGAUAAUACCUAGAGAUAGUGGACGUUACUCGCAGAAUAAGCACCGGCUAACUCUGUGCCAGCAGCCGCGGUAAUACAGAGGGUGCAAGCGUUAAUCGGAUUUACUGGGCGUAAAGCGCGCGUAGGCGGCUAAUUAAGUCAAAUGUGAAAUCCCCGAGCUUAACUUGGGAAUUGCAUUCGAUACUGGUUAGCUAGAGUGUGGGAGAGGAUGGUAGAAUUCCAGGUGUAGCGGUGAAAUGCGUAGAGAUCUGGAGGAAUACCGAUGGCGAAGGCAGCCAUCUGGCCUAACACUGACGCUGAGGUGCGAAAGCAUGGGGAGCAAACAGGAUUAGAUACCCUGGUAGUCCAUGCCGUAAACGAUGUCUACUAGCCGUUGGGGCCUUUGAGGCUUUAGUGGCGCAGCUAACGCGAUAAGUAGACCGCCUGGGGAGUACGGUCGCAAGACUAAAACUCAAAUGAAUUGACGGGGGCCCGCACAAGCGGUGGAGCAUGUGGUUUAAUUCGAUGCAACGCGAAGAACCUUACCUGGCCUUGACAUAGUAAGAACUUUCCAGAGAUGGAUUGGUGCCUUCGGGAACUUACAUACAGGUGCUGCAUGGCUGUCGUCAGCUCGUGUCGUGAGAUGUUGGGUUAAGUCCCGCAACGAGCGCAACCCUUUUCCUUAUUUGCCAGCGAGUAAUGUCGGGAACUUUAAGGAUACUGCCAGUGACAAACUGGAGGAAGGCGGGGACGACGUCAAGUCAUCAUGGCCCUUACGGCCAGGGCUACACACGUGCUACAAUGGUCGGUACAAAGGGUUGCUACCUAGCGAUAGGAUGCUAAUCUCAAAAAGCCGAUCGUAGUCCGGAUUGGAGUCUGCAACUCGACUCC